rnacentral:tRNA from 1 species
GGGCGAUUAGCUCAGUUGGCUAGAGCGCCACCUCGACACGGUGGAGGUCGUAGGUUCGAGCCCUACAUCGCCCA